rnacentral:lncRNA from 12 species
AUAUUACCUGUGUGCUUCAGAACAUCCAUGAGUGACAUGUGAUAGUUGCCCAGGAAACUAGAGAUGAAAUUCCACAGGCCUUUGAGAUGCUUUACAUUUGAGAAUAAAGUUCAGCUGAAGUUUAAAUAGCAUCCUGACAGUGAGCAUUGAUCCCUCAUGUUAUCUGUUAGAAUAUUAGAGCUGCUGAUGACAGAAAACCCCCAACUCAAAGUGGCUAAACCAACAAAGAAAUUUAUUAUCUAAUAGAACUGCAAGUCCAGAGGUAGGGUGGGCUCCAAGUGGAUAAUAAUGAAAAGUUUAAUAUAAUCAAGGAUCUAGAUCCUUUUUUUCUUUCUCCUCUGCUGUCCUCAGCUAUCCCCUAAGGCUGGCUGGCCUUGUGGUCUUGAGAUGGCUGUUAAUGAUAACCUGAGCAAUAUUAAUUCUUAUUUAUGCUAGCAGGAGAGGAAAGUGGAGAUUUUUCCCUUAAACCUAGAAAAUAGGGAUGCCUGGGUGGCUCAGUGGUUAACCGUCUGCCUUCGGCUCAGGGCAUGAUCCUGGAGUCCUGGGAUCAAGUCCCACUUUGGGCUCCCUGCAUGGAGCCUGCUUCUCUCUCUACCUGUGUCUCUGCCUCUCUCUGUGUCUUUCAUGAAUAAAUAAAUAAAAUCUUUUUAAAAAACUAGAAAAUAUUCCUUCUUUUCAAUGUGAUUGAAAAAAUUUAAUUCACACACCCAUCUCUAGAUUAAGGAAAGGCAUUCCCCAACUGGCUUAAAAAAAUCAAAAUCUCCCCUUGAGGACUAGAUAUAUUAUGAUUCUCUGGACUAAAAGGGCUUAUAUUAAGAAGAAAAAAGAGAGAGUUGUGUGCUAGGUGUCACCUAUAUCAUACAACAGAGAGACAAUGGUUAACCAGAAACUCUAUACUGAAAAAAUUUUUUUCAAGUUCCAGUCCCAGGUUCCAUUAUUCUGUCCUUUGUCAUCAGCACAGUGGACAUAUAUUUCCAUCAUUUAAGGAUCAAAAUAGAAGAGAAAGGGAAAGAGUUUUGCCAAUAGAGACUUUACAGACAUCUCUUCUAUAA